rnacentral:lncRNA from 1 species
UGCUUUUGAAGUGGACAAAACUCUCACAAAUAGAGAAAAUUCAUGGUCUUAUAAACUAUCUGAAUUAAUGAAAUAUAUUGGAAUAUCCUUUAACAAGCAUUGUAAUAUUAAUUUCAAACAGAAACUAGAAGAUUUCUACAAAAAUAAAAUUAUAUUUGAACUUUCUAAGAUAAAAGAUGGAAACUGUGGUAAACUUUUAUUUUUUAGUAAAAUUUAUACUAAAUUUAAACAACAAGAAUAUUUAAAUUUUAAUAUUCCUAAAUACCUUAGAAAAAAACUCACUAAAUUAAGAAUAAGUGCACACUCAUUAGCAAUAGAAACUGGGAGGUAUGCAAGACCAAAAAUACCAUCUAAUGAGAGAUUUUGUAAAUUUUGCACAGAAAAAAUUGAAAAUGAGAUUCAUUUCUUGAUUGAAUGUCCGCAAUAUAAAAACAUUAGAUCUAAAUAUAAAAUAAAUGAUAUUAAUUCAAAUAAUUUGGAUGAAAAUUUUACCAAAAUGUUAAAUCCUAUGUCUGAAAAGGAAUUAAAAUCUAUUUGUAUGUAUAUUGAAGAAGCUCUUGAUUUGAGAGACCACCAUACCGUUUCAUCAGAUAAUAAUCUUUUACAGUAGUUUGUGCA